UCUCUUUCCCAGUCCUUAACUCAUGAACAUUUUAUUGUAUUUUUUCAAAUACAGAGAAGCGAUAGAGGCUUUGGAGGGUGCCUGACAUCCAGACAGGACAAAUCCACCACUGUACAUGAAGUUACUGACCUCAAGAUGUGCCUCUGAAGCUUUGUAGAGCAGAAGCAGAAACAUUGCCGGGGAUGAUGCCCUAAAUUCCAGAGUUCAGCACCUCUGCUGUGAGCAAAUAAAACCUGUGGUAAAUUCACUGCAAAAAUGUUUCUAAACUCCUGGCAAGCCUUAUGGCAAAAAAGGAUUUUUAACACUGAAAUGCAGAGCUUAAGGAAACAGCUGUUGUCUCUGAAGAUAGAGGCUGACAAAUGGAUUGGUGAGACACAGAGUUAUCUUCCAUUUGGCUUCAAGGGUUUUCAGUGGGAGACACUUGACCAUUUAAUCUCUAUUCCCUACGCAUAAAAGGAGUACCAGAAAUGCUCAGAGCAGAGAACUGGAAUUUCUGGGAUAGCAGGACAUGAACUGGAGCAUGCUUGGUGCUUCCAGGCCAGAAGCAUCUAUAAACACCAGCCCAACUUUUAUUAGUUUCAGUCGGAGCUGCAUUUUUGCAAAUGAAAACUUUGCUGUGACAAGAUAAGCACGGAGAAAAUGAGGAACAUCUUUCCUCACAAAAG